rnacentral:rRNA from 1 species
GACGGAGGAUGCAAGCGUUAUCCGGAAUGAUUGGGCGUAAAGCGUCCGCAGGUGGCAGUUCAAGUCUGCUGUCAAAGACCGGGGCUUAACUUCGGGAAGGCAGUGGAAACUGAACAGCUAGAGUAUGGUAGGGGCAGAGGGAAUUCCUGGUGUAGCGGUGAAAUGCGUAGAGAUCAGGAAGAACAUCGGUGGCGAAGGCGCUCUGCUGGACCAUAACCGACACUCAGGGACGAAAGCUAGGGGAGCGAAUGGG